AUACGUAGGUGGCAAGCGUUGUCCGGAAUUACUGGGUGUAAAGGGUGCGCAGGCGGGACUGCAAGUUGGAUGUGAAAUUUCGAGGCUUAACCUCGAACCUGCGUCCAAAACUGUAGUUCUUGAGUGAAGUAGAGGUAGGCGGAAUUCCGAGUGUAGCGGUGAAAUGCGUAGAUAUUCGGAGGAACACCAGUGGCGAAGGCGGCCUACUGGGCUUUAACUGACGCUGAGGCUCGAAAGCGUGGGUAGC
rnacentral:rRNA from 1 species